AACCCACUCGUCGUCCAUCGACGAAUCGCUGCUUCCGUCGUUCACCUCUCUCAUUGCAAAUGUUAGCUCAGUCGCACUUCCUCUGCAAGUCCUUCUCUCUGAUUCCGCCGCCGUCUCCGGCGCUGCGGUCCGCGACUCGCUCUCCUCAUCUCUCUUCUUCGCAAAGCGGUAGAUUAUCUUUUCUAUCGUCUUCCUUAAGCGCUGUUUCGGUCUCCCGCGGUCAUAUCUCUCUGGCAAUGGCUUCGAACUCGAAACGGCCUGACCUAAGCGAAGAUUCCUCUUCGGAACUGAGCGCCGCCACCGAUCUGGAUCGAUUCGCCGCCGUGGCAAAUGAACUGGCGGACGCUUCUGGCGAGGUUAUCAGAAAGUACUUCCGGAAGAAAUUCGAUAUCGUUGAGAAAGAUGAUAUGAGUCCUGUUACAAUCGCUGAUCAAAUGGCUGAAGAGGCCAUGGUGUCUAUUAUUUUCCACAACUUCCCUUCUCAUGCUAUAUAUGGCGAGGAGAAAGGUUGGAGAUGCAAAGAGGAAUCUUCAGACUAUGUUUGGGUUUUGGACCCGAUCGACGGAACAAAGAGCUUUAUCACAGGGAAACCUGUGUUUGGUACGUUAAUAGCUCUGCUGUACAAAGGCAAACCGAUUCUAGGUCUAAUUGAUCAGCCUAUUCUGAAAGAGAGAUGGAUAGGAAUGAGUGGAAGAAGAACUAAAUUAAACGGGGAGGAUAUCUCAACGCGAUCUUGCCCGAAACUGUCACAAGCAUAUUUAUACACCACUAGCCCACAUCUUUUCAGUGGAGAGGCAGUAGAGGCCUUUGCUCGAGUUAGAGAAAAGGUAAAAAUGCCAUUAUACGGCUGUGAUUGUUAUGCUUAUGCUCUCCUGGCUUCUGGAUUUGUCGAUCUUGUUAUUGAAUCCGGUCUAAAGCCAUAUGAUUUCCUUGCUCUGGUGCCUGUGAUAGAAGGCGCUGGAGGUACCAUAACCGAUUGGAACGGUAACCCACCUCUUUGGGAAGCUUCAUCCAGUGCCGUUGCUACAAGCUUUAAUGUAGUUGCAGCAGGAGAUUCAAACAUUCAUCAGCAAGCAUUGGAGUCACUUGAGUGGCAGUGAAAAGCUUUCACUGGUCGAUCUUGAUCAGAUAAAUUAAGAAGACCUCAAAUUUCUGCGCGUAGUUGACUAUAGGAUUCAAGCUUUGAUUCAAUGGAAUUAGUGUUUGGUCUGCAACCGCUGUUAGAUAAUAAUGGUCACAUGAACUAUUUCUUUCUUUAGAAGGGCUACUUUUGUGCUAUUAAUCUCUGCUCUUUGUUGCAAUCUUUUGUAUAAAUAAUUGUGAAACGUUUGGAUAUUGAACUCUUCACAAGUGUUUGUAGGAGAGGAAGUAUAGGUGAGUCACAGAUUGUGGAAAGAAAUUAGAGAAACCAUGAAAGGAUAAUAAAAUUUAAAAAACCAGAAAUAGAAACCAUUUCCUUCAAUUAAGCAAAUGUGUUUCUCUUUCUCUCUUUCCUCUUCCUUCGGUUUAGCUAUAUAAAUAAAUAGCUUCAACUUUUGUUUCUUGUAUAUUGUUUUUGUUAUCUCUCUCUAUUAUAUCUGUAAACUAUGGAAAACAUAAGUGGGUUGAUGGCUUUUGACAUGGGGGAGCUAAGAAACAACCUUCCCACAAAGAGAGGAUUGUCAAGGUUCUACUCAGGGAAAGCAAGAUCAUAUGUUUGUAUCUUUGAUGUUAAAUGCCUUGAAGAUCUGAAGAAACCAACCCAACUUCUUGAUAUUGAUGAUGAUGAUGAUGCCUACACGAAGAGGAAGAAGAAGAAUAAGCAAUCAUCAUCAUCUUCAUUUUCUGCUGCUGUUAACAGCAAUGUUAACUAUCAAAACUACCCUUGUCGUAGAGUUUCUAGUAGCACACAUUGUUCCUCACCUUGUGUUAGUGCUUAGUUUUAAAAAAAACAGGUUCUCAAUUUAUCACAAACCUACAGCACGUUAUAUUAACAUCCCGUUCACAUCCAA